rfam:Oryza barthii chromosome 5, whole genome shotgun sequence.
AAAAAAAACAAACACUGGUUCCCGUGUCCACCGUUUGAUCGUACGUCUUAUUUAAAAAAAAAUAUGAAAAAAAUUUAAAAAAUAAAUCACGCAUAAAGUAUUAAUCAUGUUUUAUCAUCUAACAACAAUAAAAAUAUUAAUUAUAAAAAAAUUUUAUAUAAGACGGACAAUUAAACGUUGUUACGAAAAUGCAGGGUUUGCCUUUUU